CAGAGAAUGUAAAACUUUGAAAGAAGUGUUCUCUUUUCAGUCGUACCGAUAGUGUAUCGGUUCGUCCUUGAAUCGCUUCAGAUUUUUGGGUUGAUGGUUUGCAAUACAGCCUUAGAACUUCACAAAUCUGCCUCUUCAACACGUUUUUUCACAGGAUGGGGUGACGUGUCACAUUUCAUGUGAGCCAACCUCACAAACACAUGAAAUAUUUGGAGAAGAAAGGACUGUCAGCAAAGCGUCAUGGCUACGGAAUUUGCUGGACCUAACCACUUGUCACUUUUAUCUGGGAGCCAGUCUAAAGGGAAGAAAUGCACACAAAUAACCAAAUAAUGUUGGAAGACUUGAAGGACAAUAUUCAUAAUGAAAUUUUGGUAACUGAUGCAGCAGAGUGGCGCAAACUGUGUAUUAACUGUGUAUUAUCAUAUGAGGGCACAUGCAUAAGAGCAUUUAC